rnacentral:SRP_RNA from 1 species
GCCGGGCGCGGUGGCUCAAGCCUGUAAUCCCAGCACUUUGGGAGGCCGAGACGGGUGGAUCACGAGGUCAGGAGAUCGAGACCAUCCUGGCUAACCUAGUGAAACCCCGUCUCUACUAAAAAUACAAAAAAANNNNNNNNNNCGCCUCCCGGGUUCACGCCGUUCUCCUGCCUCAGCCUCCCGAGUAGCUGGGACUACAGGCGCCCGCCACGUCGCCCGGCUAGUUUUUUUUUUUUGUAUUUUUAGUAGAGACGGGGUUUCACUGUGUUAGCCAGGAUGGUCUCGAUCUCCUGACCUCGUGAUCCGCCCGUCUCGGC